GGCUGGCUAAGCAAAAACCCAAUGCCCUAAAAUCCCAUUUUCACUCUCACCACCACCACCACCACCACCACCACCCAGUCAUCCUAGAGAUUUUCUCGAUCUUUGCUUCUUUCUUUCUCAAGAGAAUCUGGUUGAUUGCGAUUUCACCAAAGUUUGAAUCGAUUCAUUGACAAGGCCUUACCCUCUCUAGUUCCUAUGUUGUUAGAGACGUUAAUGUAACCACGAAGAAGAGGUGGUAUAGUUACACAGUUCUUUUACUUGGAUCAUUCACUAUCCAUUCUUAAAGUCAGCUUGGAUGUCAAAUGUCGUGUAAAGACUCUCACAAGUCUGUUGUAAAGUGGGUAAAUUUGAAACACCACUUGCUUUAAUAGAAGUGCGAAAGCCUAGUCAAGUUGCAUUUAAGCCGGCAGAUUCUGGUGAGGCUCGAAGACAUUCAUUUGAACCGAAGGAGCAUCAGGUGGUUUCUACUCUAGAUACAGAUUGUCACUCGGAACCCUUUCACCACUCAGAUUCCGUUGGGAGGGUGAAACGUUUUCACACCGCUGAUCCACAUUUUCUCCAGGAGUCUCUGUUGAAAAGCUCUACUCAGAAAGGAAGACAGCUUGUGUCCUUGGGUGCAAUCGAGCUACAUGGCAAUUCAAAACCCUCAGAAAUUUCUAUAACUUUUCUUGUGCAAGAAAAGCUGGAGAAAUCUCAGUGUGUCCGCCACAAAAGUAUGCAGUUUGAAGAUAAUGUAUCACAAGAUGAUUCUGGCGUGAUUUAUGCUAAUGGUCCUCGAAAAACAAAUGAUGAGUAUGAGUUCAUGGGGAAUGAGAUUAGAACUAGCAAGUACACUGUGAUCACUUUCUUGUUGAAGAAUCUGUUUAUUCAAAUCCAUCGACAUUGCUGCCUUGAACCAGCUCUCCCUCUUGCUAUUAUUGGUAGAACGGUAUCACCUUUUUCUUUUGUUCUUUGUGCUCUGUGUUACGGCUAUUAAAGAUGGAUAUGAAAGACACAAAUCAGACAGAAAUGAGAACAACAGGGAAUCUCUUGUUGUGCAAUUUGACAAGUAUCGUGUAAGAAAGUGGAGAUAAAAUCGUGCUGAUGAGGUUGUUAAAAUACGUGCCAACAAGACAAUUCCACGUGACAUGAUUUUUUUGAGGACAAGUGAUACUGGUGGGACAGCAUACACUCAAACAAUGAUCCUUGAUGGUGAAUCAAACUUGAAGACUGAUGUAUGCGCGGAGCAGUUUCAAUGGCUUUUGACGAGGCAGUAUUCGAGGGCCUAUCACAUGCCAGCAGCACCCAGCCGACAUGAAAUUUGAUGGGAAUAAAUUUCCACUCAGCCAACCAAACAUCAAUUUUGCCAGUUGAAAGAACACAGAACGGGUAGUGUAGCAUCUCCUUCCAAACGAAGCAGAAAGCCAUAUUAAACAGGGAAUUCUUGUGGUUUUUCGGUUUUUCUUUUAAUUAUGUGCGUGGUAGUGGCGCUUGCAGCUCUGAGCCAAUGAUCACCAGCUCGAUACCCUGCCUUACUAGUAUCACUUGCAUGAUACUGACCAUUCAGUAAAGCAAUCAUCUAUUGAAGAAGUGUCAAACCCAAAUUUGAAAUAGCCAUUUGAUAGUGAGCUGGUUGGGCUGUUGCAUAAGAACGUAGAAGGAGAUGAGGGAUAGUGGUGCACGAGCAAUGAAGAUGUAGGAGCUAUUGAGUAUCAGGGUGAAUCUCCUAACGAGCAAGCCUUUGUCUCUGUUGCUUCUGCUUAUGGAUACACAUCUGGGGCUCUGGGCACAUCCUGGUUGAUGUCAAUGGUGAGAAAUUAAGGUUGAACGUAUUGGGUCUGCAUGAGACAUGAGUGUGCACAAGAGCAUAUCAGUUGUUAGAUUUCCUAACAAUGCCGUCAAAGUGUUGGUGAAGGGAGCUGAUAGAUCAAUGGUCAACGUGAGAAUAAUACAGACAACCGUAAAGAUCUUUUGUCAAGAGAUAUAAAGCAUGCAACUCAGAAUCAUUUGACAGAGUAUUAUCGUGAAGGUUUGCUCACGCUUGUCCUUGCUUCAAGGGAUCUUACAGAUGAAGAACUUGAAGAGUGGCAAGGCUGUUAAGAAGAGGCGAGCACUUCGUUGGUUGACAGAUCCGCUAAGCUACCCCAGACAGCAUCUCUCUUAGAAUGUAAUCUUAAUCUUCUCGGGGAUAUUGCAAUUGAAGAUAAGCUACAAGAAGGUGUUCCAGAAGCCAUUGAGUCCCUUCAGCAAGCAGGAAUUAAAGUUUGGGUUCUUACUGGGGAUAAGCCAGAGAUUGGAAUUUCAAUCGGUCUCUCAUGCAAAUUUCUGACCCAGAUAUGCAGCAGAUUAUUGUAAAUGGCACUACUGAGGUGGAAUGCAGAAACCUUUGGGCUGUUGCAAAGGUCAAAUUGGUGGUGGUAUGAGAGUGUAGAUUCUGCUCCUCUGUUUCAUUGGGAAGGCCUUAACCUCUCUGGUUCCUAUGUUGUCAAAAAUGCCAGACCUCACUCCUUUGAACUUGACGUGGACGAUACAUUCAUCGUGGGUAUAUGAGAGAGGUGGUAUAGUUACACAGGUGAACCAACCAGAGGUGUUGGAGUUUAGGACACUUAGAGAAGAUAUCCUGGUGAUUAUCAUCCGAGUAACUUUUCUAAGUUUGAUAUCCACCUCUGCUGCACUUGGCUUUUCAAGCAUUGGAUAGGUUUGUCGGGUAAUUGGGACGCAGAGAAGUUGUAUUCUAAUAUCUAUUUUACUUUGAAACAGUUCUUGUACUUCGACCCUGUUGAAUCUGGGACAAGUAGAACGAUUUUAGCAAGAGCCAUUGCUGGAGAAGCAGAAGUACCAUUCUUUAAGUUUGAGGAAAUGCUUGUUGGUGUGGGAGCAAGAAGAGUGAGGGAUCUAUUUUCUGCAGCAAAGAACCGGUCUCCAUGUAUUUCUUUUUUCAUUGAUGAGAUAGAUGCGGGAGGGCGCCGUGACCCCAAAGAUCAGAAAUGCUCGCAGACGACCUUGAACCAGUUUCUUGUCGAGCUUGAUGGCUUUAAAUAGAAUGAUGUAAUUAUUGUGAUUGCUGCAACCGACUUCCCCGACUCUUUGGAUAAAGCACUAAUAAGGCCUGGACGUUUCGAGCAUAAUGUUGUUGUACACAAUCCAGAUGUUGAAGGACGGAGACAGGUAUCGGAAUCUCACAUGUCAAAGGUGAUCAUCCAGAAAUUGAGUGCUUCAGCUGAGAGCAAGACCGUUAUUCUUUAGGCAGCAGAUCAAAUUAUGAUGUUAUUCCUCAAGGUGUUUGGUUGCGGCAGCUCUAGAGUACUCGAAGAAGCUAUCGGGGCAUUGCCUUAUGCUACAUGCUCUCAGUUUGUCAACUACAUGCUAGAAUUCUACAAGUAUUUGUCACAACUUUGAGUAUCAGGAACCAACUGAGGUGUGGUGUCUUCGAAGCUUACUCUGGUAGUGAAUGAUAAGACGAGGGUGAAAGUUUUUGUUCCUUUUAAUCAGCAAAGGGGAUGAAAGUGUUUCUUGUUCAGGAGAAUGUCUUGAGCCUGAAGACGAUCAGCUCAAGGCAACAGCACCUUGGACACAUGUGAAGGAUACUGUAGCUUGGUCUUUGAGUAGGAAGAUAUUUGAGAAAUUGAAUUCGCCUGCCCGUGGUUGUUCUGUGACUCGUCUUGUGGAUUUUUUUUUCCAAAAAAUCUUGUAGAAAUUAACAUUUAAUCCCAUAUUAGUUGGGCUUUAGACACUCUAUUCCUGUCCCCUCAAGCCUAGUACUAGGAGGUCCAAAUAUACCAAAUCCCGGACGAGUUAGUCCAUUUUUGUACGAUUCAGUCCAAAAUUAUUUUUUAUCUCGACAAGAAUACCCAUCAGCUAAAUGGAAGGUAAAUCUCUAAGAAUCUUUUUGUUCCUGAAUCAGAUCGAAGAGAAAAACCAGAUCUAAAAAAUGGAGAAACCAUAGAAGAGAGAGAGAGGCGAUUCCAGAAUUGGAGAUAUUUUGUUCAUCUCGAUUCAAUUUAAAAGACCUAUAGUUCAUCUCGAUUCAUCCUUGAAAAGAAGAAAGCAUUUUAGGUUUUGGUUCAUCCCGAUUCAUCUCCAUUAGUUGUCGCUUGAAAAAAUUAUAAGAUCUAUAAUUUCAUUUCUCGAUUCUCAGAGAACAAAGAAAAAAAAGCGGAACUUAAACUGAUAUAUUUCUAGCGUCGUACUUUAUGGAUCUUCAACCUGCAAGUGCUAGAGAUGAUUUUGAUUACUUUAUGAAACUUCUCCUCAUGGUUGAUAACGGCUUACUUGGACGAUUAUAUAUUUCGUUAGUUCUUCGAAGAAAGUAAUGCAAUUAUUUCUGCAAGUGAGUUUCAUUUUAUAAUGCAAGGCCUCAGCUAGAUAGAAAGCUAUAUGUAGUUUUAUCUGAUUAUGGUAUGCUGCAAAGAAAAUUAUGGACAACAAAAAUGUGGAUUCUGGUGAAGACGGUCCAGUUGAGUCUGUCAGUGAUGAUGAAGACGACGAUAAGGAAAUGUUGGAUCCUGAUUUUGAAGGCUCUGAUGCUGAUGACCCGUACAAGGAAAGUAGUUUAUCAGCAGAUGAAAACGAUGGUGAUGUUAAUAAUAUUUUGGAUGGACGAACCGUAUAAGAUUUAAGGUUAGAUAUUUCGAUGAAGAGAUUGUUCCCAUGGACUUGUUGUAUAUGAUGGAGAGUUUUUUUUAAAGCUGCUCAGAUCUUUGCAUCAUUCAAUGAUAUAAUUAUCGUAAGUAUCAAAGUUAUGGUUCUUCUUUCUUUCUUCGAUAUUGUAUUGUUUGUGUUGUGAAAGUUGUAUUGAACUCUAGUAUGUUUCAAUUUUGUUUGCUGCAUGUGACUGAUUUGUCAGGAAGGAAAACUUUGGUUCAUAUUUGCUGGUAUAAAUUUGUUUUAGCUUAUUAUUUCACAAUUUUGCUUCAUAUACCUUCUAGUUUGCAUCUAUAAGCAUCUAGUUGUGUUUAUGUUGUUAUUACCGGUGCUUAAGAUACAAGAUUCAAGUUGUAUGUGUGUAAAAACUGGUGCACCUUGUCUUGUUUCACGAAUAUAUUGCCUGCUUUAUCGGUAUGAAUGUUAGAUUUUCUGGAUUUUGUGGAUGUGUACAUAGUUGUACACCUUUGUCAUGUCUCAUGGAUGUAUUACAUAUUUUAUGAGUAUUUGAUAUAUAGCAUGGCUUAUGAGUAUGGAUGUUGAAUUUGCUAGGUUUUUGUAAAUGUGUAUAUAGUUGUACACCAUUUUCCUAUCUCAUGUAUUUAUAACCUAUUUCUUUUAUUAAUAAUUCGUUAGCAUUAGUGAUUGAUCAGUGAAAAAUGGAAACAAAAUCAUUUAAUAAUUUCCUUUCGGCAAAGUGCAAUAAAUCAGUGUACUUAGAUCGUUUGAAAUCAUAUUAAGUUUGUGCAGUUAAGCACAAACGGAUAGUGUCUCUUUAAGUUAAUAACCGACUAACUUUUUACUUUUGAUAGCUUUCUUUGCUUUGUUUCUUAUGUGGUUGUUGAUGAAAGGUGAUCACUUCCUUUCCAAGCUGUGGUUUCUUAUGAAUUAUUGUUUUAUCCUAGAUGUUGGUUAAUUGCUAAACCAUCUUACGCAAAUCCAGCCAUCAUGUAGCUAGAGCUUGGCGUGUUAGAUAUUUUUUUUCAGUCUGUGCAGACUAGAGUGGCAGUCUGACUAUCAUGAAUGUUGGAUUUUCUAUAUUUUUUGUCGAUGUGUACAUAGUUGUACACUAGUGUGAAUUAAAAGAAUUUAAAAAGUGAAAAUUAUAAAGUCAUAUGAGUAAUCUUUUUGUAGAUAUCGAAAAGAGUUUUCUGAAUAUAUAAAUUUUGUGAAUUUUGGACGA